UCCGUGUUAACCACGGCAGUCCCUCUAGAGUGCCCAACUUAAUGCAGCACCUGUGUCCAGGUUCCCUUUCGGGCACCCCUCCAUCUCUGGAGGGUUCCUGGCAUGUCAAGGGUAGGUAAGGUUUUUCGCGUUGCAUCGAAUUAAUCCACAUAAUCCACCGCUUGUGCGGGUCCCCGUCAAUUCCUUUGAGUUUUAACCUUGCGGCCGUACUCCCCAGGCGGUCAACUUCACGCGUUAGCUUCGUUACCAAGGAAUUGCUUCCCCGACAACCAGUUGACAUAGUUUAGGGCGUGGACUAC
rnacentral:misc_RNA from 1 species